GGCCGGUUAGCUCAGUCAGUUGAGCAUAGUGCUAACAACGCUAAGGUCAUGAGUUCGAUUCCCGUUCGGUCC
rnacentral:tRNA from 1 species